rnacentral:rRNA from 1 species
AUUAAGUGAUUAAUUAAAAGUUUUUGUAUAACAGAAUUAUCUUUAUGUUAGUACUUUAAUGGAAAGUUUUUUAUAUUUAUAAUUACAACCUAAAGGGGUUUAAUUUUAUUCAAAAAAAGAAAUUUUUAACGAAUGUACUUUUUGUAUCAUGGUUUAUAGAGGUAAAAGAUUUAUAUUUAUUCCUGAAAACUUUAGAGCUAUUUAUUUUAAAAUUUUUAUGUUGCAUAAUAAGGGAUAAAAAAUAAAUAGAGGUGAAAUGUUAGUCGAAAAAGUUGAUAGCUGGUUAAAAGAGAAAUAUGUAUUCGCAUAGCGUGAAAAUUUUUAUUUAGUUAAUUUUAUUAAAUAAUAUUUUUAUAGUUAGUUUUUCGGGGCUAAGCUCGGGAAAUAUAAGGUAAAGAUGAGAAAAAGUAGGCUUGAAAUUAGCUAUCUUUAAAAGUUUUUUAUAAAAUGUCUUUUCUUUUUUUUUUAUGUAUCAAUAUCUUUUAAUUUCAAAGAAUUAUUUUGAUUAAAUUAGUAUAAAAUUAGUAGUGACUAUAUUAUAAAUAUUAUUAAAAAAUUUAUAUAUAAUUUAUUGUUUUUUUAAAAUAAAAUUAUUACUAAGGAACUCGGCAAAUAUUUUUCCCGCCUGUUUAUCAAAAACAUCGCCUCUUGCUUUUUAAUACAAGAGGUUGGGCCUGCCCGGUGAAUAACUAUUUUAACGGCCGCAGUGAAUAACUGUGCUAAGGUAGCGUAAUAAAUUGUCUCUUAAUUGGAGAAGGGUAUGAAUGGUUUGACGUGGAAGUAUCUGUCUCAGUAAUAGUAAAGUGAAGUUUUCUUUUGAGUUAAAAGACUUAAAUUUUAAUAAAAGACGAGAAGACCCUGUCGAGCUUGAUAAAAUUAUAAAGAGGUUUUAUAUAAUAAGUUUAGCUGGGGCAGCUAAAAACCAUAAAAUAGUUUUUUAUUUUAUGAAGAUCCGGUUUUACCGAUUAUAAGAAAAAGCUACCGUAGGGAUAACAGCGUUAUCUUUUCUGAGAGAACUAAUUGAAGAGAAGGUUUGCGACCUCGAUGUUGGAUUAGAGUUUCUUUUUGGUGCAGCAGCUAAAAUAGUAGGACUGUUCGUCCUUUAAAACUUUACGUGAUCUGAGUUCAGACCGGCGUGAGCUAGGUCGGUUUCUAUCUUUAGUGAGAUUACCAUUGUACGAAAGGAUCCGGUUUUCUAAAAUUUUUAUAAUUUAUAUUUUUAUUUUAGUAUA